CUUAUAAGGAUUCUGUCCUCAGAAUCCGCGAAGAGAACUAAAACAUACACGCUUCGCAAUAUCGUAUCGUCAUCCACUAUUGAUUAACCUUGGCAUACCCUCAACUUUAAGGGUAUAGGAAUCUUAAAAUUUUCGCAAAUGCAGAAUUAACUUUCCGGAAUAAUUCUUUGAGAAUUUGGCCAUAAAACAAAAAUGUUUUCAAAAUAGGUUUCAUCUGAAUAAACGAGUGACUGAGAGAUCAAUAUGAUCCAACGAACUUAGUGUUGCGUGCCCAUAUUAGACACUACUAAAGGUUAUCAGCCUUCUUGUAAUCACAACACACACAAGUGAUGGCGUCCCAUCAAACUUCUAUCACACAGACAGAUAGUCCUUGUGCCCCCUAUAGUAGGGUUGUUCAUCUCAGUUAGAGUGGAAAAUAUGAAAAUUUUAAAAUCAACCAACAAUGAUUGACUUUUAAGAAAUGAAUCUUUAAUAUGAACCUUAAGAGUUGAAAUCGAAUAGCUUCCAAAGAUACAAAUUUUUGACAAAGGGACUUCAUGAAUGUCUUUAUAGAAGAGAUAUUAAAACAAUUCACUAACUGUGAAAAUGCUCAAUAAAAUCAAUAUUGAGGAUGGUAUUGCCAAGGCUAUCACAUAUGUCUUCUCGAUCGAUUUUUCUGAUAACUCGUUUCGAUUCUACGAUAUAUAUUAUUAACUUAUAUUCACCUUCGUAGAUCCCGUCACCCAUAUCCACGUUAGGUAGAACACCUGUCGAGCUUGGUACUUUCAGAAGUCAUAUCCAACUUUGCACAAUCAGCAGUGUAGAGCAUUGAGGUUGUAACCUACUCAUAAUACUAUAUCGAGUAGUCUACCACUCUUUCUAUAUA
rnacentral:lncRNA from 1 species